CACUGAGCAAAUUGAGAACAUGGGAAG
rnacentral:piRNA from 1 species